GAUGAAGAACGCAGCAAAAUGCGAUAAGUAAUGUGAAUUGCAGAAUUCAGUGAAUCAUCGAAUCUUUGAACGCACAUUGCGCCCGCUGGUAUUCCGGCGGGCAUGCCUGUUCGAGCGUCAUUUCAACCCUCAAGCCCCCGGGUUUGGUGUUGGGGAUCGGCUCUGCCCUUCUGGGCGGUGCCGCCCCCGAAAUACAUUGGCGGUCUCGCUGCAGCCUCCAUUGCGUAGUAGCUAACACCUCGCAACUGGAACGCGGCGCGGCCAUGCCGUAAAACCCCAACUUCUGAAUGUUGACCUCGGAUCAGGUAGGAAUACCCGCUGAACUUAAGCAUAUCAAUGCGGAGGA
rnacentral:misc_RNA from 1 species